rnacentral:rRNA from 1 species
AGUGGGGAAUCUUGGACAAUGGGGGCAACCCUGAUCCAGCCAUGCCGCGUGGACGAUGAAGGCCUUAGGGUUGUAAAGUCCUUUCGCCGGGGAAGAUAAUGACGGUACCCGGAGAAGAAGCCCCGGCUAACUCCGUGCCAGCAGCCGCGGUAAUACGGAGGGGGCUAGCGUUGUUCGGAAUUACUGGGCGUAAAGCGCACGUAGGCGGAUAGUUAAGUCGGGGGUGAAAUCCCGGGGCUCAACCCCGGAACUGCCUUCGAUACUGGCUGUCUGGAGGAUGGGAGAGGCGAGUGGAAUUCCGAGUGUAGAGGUGAAAUUCGUAGAUAUUCGGAGGAACACCAGUGGCGAAGGCGGCUCGCUGGCCCAUUUCUGACGCUGAGGUGCGAAAGCGUGGGGAGCAAA